GUUCUCAUAGGAUCAUUGAAGUUAAGCAACAUCGAGUUUGGUCAGUACCUAGAUGGGUGACCACUCGGGAAUACCAGGUGCUGUA